GGGCACAGUGGUGGUGUACGUGCUUUGCACGCAGAAGGUCCCAGGUUCAACCCCUGGCGUCUACA